UACGUAGGGGGCGAGCGUUGUCCGGAUUUACUGGGCGUAAAGCGCGUGUAGGCGGCCGUUUAAGUCGGGGUGUGAAAGCCCGGGGCUCAACCCCGGGAUGCCGCCCCGAGACUGGACGGCUUGAGGUCGGAAGAGGGGAGUGGAAUUCCAGGUGUAGCGGUGAAAUGCGUAGAGAUCUGGAGGAACACCCGUGGCGAAGGCGGCUCCCUGGUCCGGAUUCUGACGCUGAGACGCGAAAGCGCGGGGAGCGAACGGG
rnacentral:rRNA from 1 species